ACGACCUUACUUGAACAGGAUUUGUUCUAUAGGCUCUACCACUGUAUCCUUGAGUUCUAAGGAGACAGGUCUGGUGGAUGACUUUGUGGCCAUUAGACCAUAGCGUGAUUAACGGCAGCCAUGGCCUUUGGUUCAUGGCGCUGUAGAUGAUAGUUCCCAACUCCUAUCCAUGGUGUGUUUGGGAUGGUCUAAUGGCUGUCUGACAGACU
rfam:Capsicum annuum cultivar Zunla-1 chromosome 10, whole genome shotgun sequence